GAUGAACGCUGGCGGCGUGCUUAACACAUGCAAGUCGAACGAAGCAUUUGCGACAGAUUUUUUCGGAAUGAAGUUGCUUAUGACUGAGUGGCGGACGGGUGAGUAACGCGUGGGUAACCUGCCUUGUACUGGGGGAUAGCAGCUGGAAACGGCUGGUAAUACCGCAUAAGCGCACAAUGUUGCAUGACAUGGUGUGAAAAACUCCGGUGGUAUAAGAUGGACCCGCGUCUGAUUAGCUAGUUGGUGAGAUAACAGCCCACCAAGGCGACGAUCAGUAGCCGACAUGAGAGGGUGACUGGCCACAGUGGGACUGAGACACGGCCCAGACUCCUACGGGAGGCAGCAGUGGGGAAUAUUGCACAAUGGAGGAAACUCUGAUGCAGCGACGCCGCGUGAGUGAAGAAGUAAUUCGUUAUGUAAAGCUCUAUCAGCAGGGAAGAUAGUGACGGUACCUGACUAAGAAGCUCCGGCUAAAUACGUG
rnacentral:rRNA from 1 species